ACGGAAGGCAGCAGUGAGGAAUAUUGGUCAAUGGGCGAGAGCCUGAACCAGCCAAGUCGCGUGAAGGAUGAAGGUUCUAUGGAUUGUAAACCUCUUUUGUUCGAGGGUAAAGUGAGGGAUGCGUCCCUUAUUGCAAGUAUCGAACGAAUAAGCAUCGGCUAACUCCGUGCCAGCAGCCGCGGUAAUACGGAGGAUGCGAGCGUUAUCCGGAUUUAUUGGGUUUAAAGGGUGCGUAGGCGGGAUGUUAAGUCAGCGGUGAAAGCGUGUAGCUCAACUAUACCAAGCCGUUGAAACUGGCGUUCUUGAGUGUAAACGAGGUAGGCGGAAUGUGACGUGUAGCGGUGAAAUGCUUAGAUAUGUCACAGAACCCCGAUUGCGAAGGCAGCUUACCAGCAUACAACUGACGCUGAGGCACGAAAGUGCGGGGAUCAAACAGGAUUAGAUACCCUGGUA
rnacentral:rRNA from 1 species